rnacentral:rRNA from 1 species
AAAUGAAUAGACGGGGGCCCGCACAAGCAGCGGAGCAUGUGGUUUAAUUCGAAGCAACGCGAAGAACCUUACCAGGUCUUGACAUCCAGUAAAAGCUGUAGAGAUACAGUGUGCCUUCGGGCAUACUGAGACAGGUGGUGCAUGGUUGUCGUCAGCUCGUGUCGUGAGAUGUUGGGUUAAGUCCCGCAACGAGCGCAACCCUUGCUAAUAGUUACUAACGGAUAACGCCGAGGACUCUAUUGGGACUGCCGUGGACAACACGGAGGAAGGUGGGGACGACGUCAAAUCAUCAUGCCCCUUAUGACCUGGGCUACACACGUGCUACAAUGGUCGCAACAAAGAGAAGCGAGGGCGCAAGCCGGAGCGGAUCUCAAAAAAGCGGUCUCAGUUCGGAUUGUGGGCUGCAACCCGCCCACAUGAAGCAGGAGUUGCUAGUAAUCGCGAAUCAGCAUGUCGCGGUGAAUACGUUCCCGGGCCUUGUACACACCGCCCGU